rnacentral:rRNA from 1 species
GUGCCAGCAGCCGCGGUAAUACGGGGGGAGCAAGCGUUGUUCGGAUUUACUGGGCGUAAAGGGCGCGUAGGCGGUCGUGACAAGUCACUUGUGAAAUCUCCGGGCUUAACUCGGAACGGUCAAGUGAUACUGUCGGACUAGAGUACAGAAGGGGCAACUGGAAUUCUCGGUGUAGCGGUGAAAUGCGUAGAUAUCGAGAGGAACACCUGCGGCGAAGGCGGGUUGCUGGGCUGAUACUGACGCUGAGGCGCGAAAGCCAGGGGAGCGAACGGGAUUAGAUACCCUCGUAGUCC